UCCUUCACGACGAGCCCAGAGCAGCGCGUGCGCAACGAAAUAUCGAUCGCGCGAGGGAUUCUAAAGGGAGCGGUCACGUCACGGAGGCAGAAUUUCGCGGGCAAACGCUGGUGAGAUCCUGGACAGCCCACACAAACACCCCCGUCGGGACGUCCCGUCUGAGCCUGAGCCGUCUGUAAAAAAGAGAAAGGGGAGGAAGAGGAAGAGAGAUUGUUAUGAUUAAUAUCCCGCUCCAGGUUACUGUCGAUAGUAACAUUUGCCAGUAUGUAUCCUUAAAGAGACGGACGCGUGUGACGAGUGAAAGCAUGUCUAUGGCUGAUAACACACCUCCCGACUACGGUCACAAACCAGUGGAAGCAAAGAAAGCUGUUACACCUGCAAAACCUGGAUAUUUUCUGGAAAGACUGCCUAUACAACUACUGCUGGUGUCGCUAUGUGGGCGCUGAAGAGGUGGUCUUUCCUGAGGGAGUCAGCAGGCAGGUUUCUUCCACGCUGCCAACUUAAACAGUGAAAUUACAUCCAGUGUAGUUUACGCUACAUUGCACACAGUCAUCCGAGCGUGGAGGACCGGAGAGGGGAACAGAGCCGGACUGUGUCCCAGGAGAGGGGAUUUAGUGGGAGCUCAAAUCAACACUGCAGCUCGGAGAAAAGGUCUGUCCGUCCACUCUGGAGAUCGAGAACUUCUCAGGUCUCCACCAUCAACAUUCAAUCCCUUUGUACGGGUUUGUCGGAUCCUGCUGUUUUAACUGGCAUCACUCAGAGAUGGACCACAAACACCGUUCUGACAUGUACAUCGACUCGGACGUAAAACAUAAGAAAUACUGAAUGAUUAGACUCUCAUAUGUGCGUUUACUGUAAAUGAGAGUCGGAUCAUGAGCUGACUGUCAGGCGAUGAAUGUUUGCUUUUCCAAUGCGUCGUGAGCAGGAAGCAUUGUAUGUUCUCAAAGAAGAAAAAAUGAAUUUGUGAUGAUGGUCAGUUGGUUGUGAGCAAUAAUUGUAGUGUCGUCGUAGAGGUCCAGCUGGAGAACUAUAUACCAGCAAAGUCAUGAAGACUAUUUAUGAAAACUAAAUAUUUAAGGCUGGUUUUUGUUCUGAAGGAUGAGAACAGUUGUGCUACUGGUAAAAUCGGUGAACAACUAUAAAAAAAACACACAAGAAAGCAGU